rnacentral:lncRNA from 1 species
GAAGUUUAUACAAAAGACGGAAAUUCUUUAUGGAUGAACAAAUACUUAAUGGUCACUGAAUUUAAAUCUUUAAACAUGGUGUAUGUUUUUCAACUCAGGUAAAAUCUAAAUAUUUUCCACGUAUCUUGUUUAUUUUAUCAUCUGUAGCUUUUGUUGUUUGAAAAAUAAUUUGUUAUACCUAGAGGAUUAUAAACAAAAAUAAGAAAUUGGGUAAUUCCCUGUGUGUACAUCUGUAAAGGAUAGUUUUCAAUGUUAACAGGUAAAUACUUUUGCUUCUAUAUAUCUGAAUAGUAUAUUAACUUAAUAUUUUCACAUCUAAAUUGAGAAAAAAGUUAUUUGGAGGAGAUAGUCAUAUAUAUCCAAGAAACAAUCAUUGAUGUUAGAAUACUUUGAAAAGAGAAAACAUAAGAAAUAAGUGGUGGGUGGGAGGUGUUUAGAGGGGGUGCACACAAGACAAUAUUCUCUGUAGGAGUCACCCUCAUAAUAUAAAUGGGAGCCUCUAUUUCAGAAAUUAGGAAUCCUCCCUCUUAAUACCUGGAUCUUCUCACAAAAAUAUUGAUGAGAACAGAUCUCCCCCUAUGGAGUGAAAAUCUCCUUACCUUAAUUAAAAAAAGUUAACAAAACAUUACGAUUAUCCCCCUUUGUAAAUGAAGUUUAGUUAUACAAAACCUUUAAUGAUCCUUGAACCCUUACAGGAUUUAGGAACUUGCAACUAAUUGAGGAUUUUAACUUAAAAAUGAGGUAGUAUAAAAUACUAAGAAACAAAUAAAAAAAGCAUUUAUAAGUCAGCGAAAAACUGCUGAACAUGACCAUAGACAAAAAAUAUUACUUAAGGUGGUACCCAACACUUUCACUAAAAUAAAUUUGGCUCGUUUAAUUUUCAUAAAAUUUGGUCAAAGUAUUUACUUUGACAUUUAAACAAAAAUAUAAAAAAUUUUAAAAAAUUGAACCAACUGUUUUGUCAGAAAAAAUACACUGGUUAUAUAGCAAUUUGACAAACACCAAUUUUGAUCAUUGAGAAGCUUCAUAUAUUCCUUGUACAACACAACGUAAUAAAAACGUUAAGCUGACUUUACAGAGUUAUCUCCCUGUAGUGUUAGGUACACCUUAAAGACAUACAAAAUAUUUACAAAAUCUUACAUAGAAAACUUAAUACUGAGCAAUAAGAACCCCACCAAAAAAUGGGGUUAAUCUUAAGCUGCUCAAGAAUAGUCAGACUAUUCCUUCAUAUCAUAUAAAAGAUAACAUAAUAGAAUACAGAAUUGAAACAGGGAAUGGGUCAAAGAGAUGAUAAACCAUCCAAAUAGCAGAAAACAGCCCAAGGCCACCAAUGGCUUUUCAAUGCAGAAAGAAAAUCCCAAAUCUGGAGAUUGGGUUUAUAUUGCAAUAGAAUUCACCUAUUUACCUCACCCAGGGUAAUUAAAAUAGUUUCAUUUAAAAGUGGACAGUUAUUUAGGAACCACAUCACUUGAAUAGUUUUCUAAAUAAUAUAUUUGACCUCUCAAAAGCCUGUAAUAUAGUAAAGCUAAAUGAGACGUUAAGACUUUCGCUUUGUAAAUGUAUUUCAGUUAUUCAAUUAUGCUUCAAAUCUAACAAAGGCAGGUGUUCAUAUAAUGAUGUUGUCGUGUUUUGAACUUGCAUUGACGGUUGAAUGUCUUAUCAAUGAGACAGCCAAUUAACUGUGCAUACUCUAUAUAUAUAUAUUACCUAUUAUCAUCUCCUAGUAUGAAGAGUCCACGGACAAACUCCAACAAAGAGAGAAGGUCUAUGCCCUGUAAUCUUAAGAAUAUAUGUACUGCUAUUUUUGGUUAUGUUUAUAGUUCAGAAACUGACAGUUAAUUGGAUAGCUGUCAAAUUAGAAGGAUUAAUUCUACUAUUAUGAUGGAACAAAUCAAUGGUGUUGUCUCUACUUUGAAAUUCUUCAGGAAUGGAAGCCAUUUGAAAUAUCUAGUCUCUACGAUUCAUUUAGUGAGGCCUGUAGUUAUGAAUGCAAAUCUUCAGAAACUGACAAACAUGCAUGAUUAAUAAGUUCUUAUAUAAUUCCAAUUGUUGUGCUUCUUCUAGAACUGUGAUAAAUAAACUGUUAAUUGUGCUUGGCUUAUAAAUGCAUUCAUUUUUACGAUAAAAUAUAAAGUAUUGGACAGACAUUAUAGACGAAAAGAUAAUUUAUUAGACAUCUAAGACUUGACCAAAUACCAAUUCUACUGGUAGAAGAAGAACAUCAAUUAUAUCUCUUUCCUUUAAUAUACAUUUUAUUUGUUAUUUCCAGUCAAUUUGUAAUUUUUGUCUCAUUGGAUGGUAUGUUGAUAAUAAGCUUAAUUUCUAUCCCAUUAUCAGUAAAGGAGACAGGAAUUGUCCUUGUAAUACUGAUUUUCUCUGCAGUCGGGCUGAGCUUCCUCCACCAGUACAAAAUGACUGGUAGGACCCUACAAUAGUGCUGAAAAAAUGCUUAAAACACCAAUUAAUCAAUCAAUCAACUUAACACUGUUUUAUUUCAUUUUUUACACAAUUUUCAUUUAAAGGUUUCUCAUACAUUAGGCGAAUUAGUAUUGAAAUAUUUCAGAUUAUCUGGGUUCUUUCAAUAAAUGAUGAUUUAUAAAAAAGAAAUUAUGUUAGUAACCUUGUCACCCCAUUGCUUUUUACUGGGCAUGGAACUAUUGUCUUUCCAAGUCUUUCCAAGGAACAGUGAAAUGUUCUCUGAAAUUAAGUGAAACUUCAGCAAAUGGUCUGUUACACUCAAUAUUGUUUGAUACUUCUAGCAACUAUCCAUAUUAAGAACAGCAAUAAAAGCUCUCACUCUGAUGUUUUUAUUAUUUCUAAAAAAGUUGAGAAUGGAUAUGGGGAAUUUGCCAAAGAGGAAAAAAAAUAAACAGGCUAGGCCACCAUUGGGUCUCCAACAGCGAGAAAAUCCCAAACCCCUAGGGGGGCUUCAGCUGGCCUUUAAACAAAAAUGUGUAAAUAUUAGUGAAAAUAGAUGUAUUUCAUAGGAUUUUUUUCUCAUCAACAAUCAUGUCUAUUAUAAACUUUGCUUAAUUGUCAAUUUUUUGAAAUUUUUCCAUUUAUGGCAUGUUUUAUAUACAGAAUUUGAUUUUAUAAUCAAAAUUAGCAAGGAGCAAGAUCAGUGCCACAGAUAAUGAUCAAUUAUUUGUUAGAAAUUAUAACUUCCACAUGAUAAUUAACAUUUGAAAAGGUUCAUUUUAAGAUAUCUGCCAUCGCAGACAAGAAAGGCUUGAGGAGUUUAUAUUUAUAAUCAAUAUGAUACUGGGGAUGAAGAUAAUUAAAGUAUAUAUAAAGGAAUAUGUAGGAAGAUUAAUAGAUAUAAUGGAGUCCAAAGAGCCUUGACAUUUUAUAUCAGAACAUCCAAAGACCAAAAGACAUCUGUACUUUACUCAUGUGAAUACUUGUCAAACCUAAUCUGAAUAAAUCCAGAAUAACUACCCCUGAAAAUGUUUAUACAAAACUAAACAGGAAUAUAUAGGAAGAAUUCAAGAAAUGAUGGAUUCCGGAGAGCCUUGAGAGUCUUUACAGUAAUGUCACACCUAAUCUGAAUACAUCCAAGAAACUGCUGAAUGCCAAAAGUUAUUUCAUAUUUUUUUACGUAGAGAUUUCUUUUUACUCAUAAUUAAAAAGGAAUAUAUGGGAAGAUUACUAGAUGUAAUGGAGUCGAUAGAACAUGCCAUUUUAUAUACGAGCAUUCAGAGACCCAAUACAUGUUGACAGCAAUUUACUUGUCUCAACUAAGCUCAAUAAAUCUAGGAUAUUGCUGAAUUAAAAAAGUUAUUUUAUUUAAUUUUAUAUAAAUUUACUGAUUUAUUAUACAUCCUUGAAAAGAAAUAUAUAGGGAGAUUAAUAGACAUAAUAGAACCAAGAAAGCCUAAACCUUAAUCAAAUAUUUUUUGGUAUCUCAGCGGUAAGUAUUGAACUAUCCUGGAUUUAUUCAGAUUAGGUCACACUAAAUGAUUAGGUGUGACAAUUAAGUAAAGUGCAGUCGACAGUGAAUGCAUGGUAUCUGAAAAAUUUUCAUAAACAAGAUUUUUUUCUCUUCAACUGGAGGACAAGAGAAGACCCUUGAAAAAGGGAUUAGUGUACUCCUGUCUGGAGGUUCACAUAUAUGUUGAUAAUGUCUUUUGAUCUUUUGCUAUUUAUAUAUAGGAUUAAACAUUUACUGUUACACUGAAUUCAGCAAUUGCAAGCAUGUCAUAGGAUUUUUGACAAAUCCUUUAUGUAUACUUUAUGUUGUGGGGUAGCUGCUCUCUCUGGUUUGCACCACAUCUUCUUUUGCUUAUUAUCUUGUCAUCUGAAUUACAAACCACCCUUAUGUAAUAUUAAUGUUCAAUAAUUUAAUGUUUAAGAAAAACAUAUUUUACAAACACAUUUUAACUGCCUUAGGCAUAAACAAUGUGUUAUUUUGAUACAGAAUGUUUUAAAACAUUGAUUGUUUUCUUUUGUAGUUAGACAUAAUGGAUUAAUAACAAGGAAAACCAGUUGUAACACUUGUACAGUUUUAAAUUGAGAAGAAAAGAUAGUCUGGUAAUUUUUGGUAAAUUAUUACAUUGUCAUUUAUGAAAAUGUUGUUAUUUUGAAUCUUCCUCCAUGAACAUUGUAAAUUCCAUAAUAUGUUUAUGAGGUUGUAUAUGGCAUUUAAAUUUGAUAAUAAUGUUAUUGCCUCUAUAACGCAAAUUCCUUAAUUGAAAAUUUCCUUCUCUUUUGAAAGUGAUUUUAAUGAAAUUUUAACUUAACUGACAGAUCGAUGUAGAAUUUAAUUCUUACAAAUUCUCACUUUAUUGGUUUUGAGCCAUAUCAACUCACUUUCAAUUUGUAUGGUGAAAUUUCAUUUCUAACAUUUAUACCCAUCUUGUUGAAGUGAGUUUAUUAAAUAAAUUUAUCCUUCCAAAGUUGUCAAAUUGAUUACAGCAUAGUUAAAAGUAUGAUGUUUACAAUGUUCCCUUAAUGAAAGUGAUAUGAAAAUACCAACUGAAUUAGAUAAAAGAAUGAAACAUGACAAAAUAAUGCAUUUCCCAACAUUGGAAAUAAUUGAUAUAACACAUGCAAUAGAUUCCAAAUAGAUUCCGACACAUACUGUUCUGCAUGAUACCAGACUAAAAGAAACGUGUUUCUAGCAGUCACGAAUUAUGUCUACCCAUAUUUCUAAUAAAACAGUAGAAAAGUUGAACCCAACUUUAAAUUCAUAUAUUAAAAUGCUAUAGAACUUGAAUCUUAGAAGGACAACAUUACCAACCAAUGACGGACUGUAUAGAUUAUCUUCAGUUAUUUUCAGAUUUGUCAAUAAAAUGCAGAAAAGAGAGUAACUUUUCUUAGAAAUACUGUCAUUUGUUGCCAAACAACGAGUACAAUCAUUGUACUGUCACCACCAAAAAAUAUGCACAUAUACAUACAGGCGAGACAUAUCUGUGUGUCAACAGUUUAUCAACAGGACAACUUCUAUAAAAAAAAAUUAGGCUAAUUAACAGGUAGUAGUCUUUACUGCAUCAUCAUCAGGUCAUAGGUAUUUAUUUUAGAACAAAAGUACUCUAUUGUAUAGCAUGCUAAUUUUAUUUGUUUUGGCGAUUUUUUUCUAGGUAUUUUCCACAAAUAGAGCUAUAUAUAUUAGCAUCAUUGAAUAUCUGAGAUAGUGUAGUUUAUUGAUUCCAUCAUUGCUCCUUGUCAUAUAAACCACUUGUCACAAAUGAUCAAAGACCUAUUCUAUAUUCUAAUGUCCCCGUUAAAUAUCUGUAGAACUAUUAAAACUGAAUUCUAGCUAUUUCCAGUUCAGUGUCCUGAUAUUGUUAUACAAUGAUUAAAUGAGACAACCUGACCUUUAAAUGGUAUAAAAUUGACAUUAAAAUGAAACAUUUCAACAAAGUAACUACGUAGAAUUCAUUUCGAAUGGCAAAUGGCAAGAUUUCAGAAAAUGAUACCUAAGACCUUUGGAAAUGUAGAAUUAUGUAAGGUUUUAGAAAUUAUAAAAUAAGAUACGAUUGCGGCAAUUUUAUACUUAAAAACUGUGCAGAACAAUGAGUUCUCUGCAGUUAUUUAAAUAUCAGUAAGAGAUUCUGCUAUUAUUCCCAAUAUCGUCGUUAUUUCAAUUUGUCAAAGAUGCUAGCUGAUUGGUUGAUCUGACAUUGAUUUUUGAUUGUAUGCAAUAAGGAAUGUAUGUUAAUACAAGCUUAUAUGGUCAAUUUUUCAGGUGGCCCUGAUUCCUGUCGACUUUAAUUAGGUGUUCUAGGUGCAAGAAAGAAUAUGGAUUUAUCAUAGCUCGGGUACGUACAUGUGUAUAGAUAUUGAUUUUAAUAUUGUUAUUCGCUUAAAAUGGUUGGUAAAAGAUAGAGCAUUGAAUUUUUUUCCAAUAUCAGAAUAUUUCUUAUUUUCAAUGCCAGUUGAAUUGAUUACUUUUGAUACCAAAUGUCAUGUUUUUUUUUAUAAAUUUUAAAUGAGGGACAGGAUGAAUCUCAUAAAAAAUAGAUUUUCCAAGAUAUUCUGCCACACAAUUUGAUAGAAUUUCAGUUUUGCCUUAAAAUCUAGAGACAAGUUUUGUCCAUCCAACAAACGUCAAGGAUCGGGAAUACAUAAAAUUCAGCAGUCUGAUACAUGUAUCAUAUUGUACUACAUUAUGGUUGUUAAGUUGUUGAAUCUAUAGUGCAGUUUGGUUAUAUUAGAACAAUAUUCCUACAUGACCUGCGCAUACAUGACAUAUGAACAUGUCUGAGUUAAAAAGAAGGUAUGACAUUCCUUUCUAAGGGAGCUACCAUUUGAUUUUUAGGGGGGGGGGGGGGGGGGCUAGGAUGAAAUUUGAAGAAAAAAGGCAGGACAGGAUUUUGAGUAAAAAAAAAGGCAGGAUGAGUAACUUGGCAACAACAAAAAAGACAGGAUGACAAUUGUUGUGAAAAAGUCAGGAUAAGCUAAGAAAAAAAAAGGCAGGACCGAAUAGACUGAAAAAUAAAAAGGCAGGACAGAGAUUACAAAUAAAAAAAAAGGCAGGACACAAUUUUUCAUCCUAGCCCCCCUAUGAUCUUACUUUUGUCUAGAAUUGAUUGAUUGAUUGUUCAAUGACCAAAACUACGAGGUCGUUUUUGCUGAAGCACAUGUCAAAUUAAUCCCGGUCUGGCAAACGGCUCGUUCAAAUAAAUUUCGGCCAGGGAAUCCCGCGAAAAAAAUAAAUUCAGUAGUGAAAGUGUUAAACCCCACUUUCAACACUAUUUUGCUUUUUUGUGGGGUUAGUUUUUAUUGGCAGAGGAAGCUUGAGAGAGUGGCCUGAAACACCAACCUAUGGUAUCUCAUGUCUAGAAUUACCAGUUUUCCUGCAAAAGGUGCAUUGAUCUCUAAUUACAGUAUACAUAGUUUCCCCUAUCAAUGAAACUGGCAGCUGUGGUAUAGCCAAAUGUACUGAAUGAACUGAAUGCGGCGCUAAGCACCAACAAUCAAUCAAUCCUCUUUGUUAUUUAAGAUGUUUCUUGUGUUAAAUGAUGUAUCCACUCAAAAAGAUUGUUAUGAUACCAUUAAUUAUUCAAAAUUGUUUUAUCCCAUUUCAAAGGAACUGUUUUUCUAUUUGCCUGGAAGAACUAUUUAUCUAUGCGUGUGAAGAAAACUGGUAAAUAGUGCAAUGGUAACACAAUGGUCUUUAAUUCUUUGUUUUCUAUUUGCUGUGAAGAACUAAGUAUGUGAAUAUAACUGGUAAAUAGUGCAAUGGUACCAUAACAGUCUUUAAUUCUUUGAAGUAGAUAUCAGAUCAAUAAAGUGUAUUGACUUUGGCAACUUUUUACAAAUAGAAAAUAUGGGUAUUGGACUUGAUGGAAACAAUAGACAUAAAUAGUUGGUAUUGAUUGUGUGUUAACUUAACUAACGUUACCAUCACUGUGGGAAUAGAUAAACAAAAACAAAAACGUAUCUUGUUGACUGUUUCAUAUCAGAUGCAGUUCCAUGGGGAAAUUUUCAAUUUACUGGUAUUUUAUGGGAAUAUUGUGCUAGUUUUUAGUACAAUUGACCAAAUGUUGCCCACCUUUUAAAGCUAGCUUUGUAGUACAAAAUGUUAUCUUAGUUUUAUAAAUUUUUGCUUUUUCUUCGCAAAAUUUUUAGAUUAUAUAACUUUUGCAAAAUUAGAAAUUCUUAUUUUAAUGUUUUAAGUUCUGAAAGUAUUAUUUGUGUGCUCCAUUAACCCAAAAUUGCAACAAUUGAUUUCACUUUUUUUUUUCUCCACUUGUCAAAAAAUCACUACAAAAAUUCAAAUUUACAGUAAAAGGAUUUGAUUUUCAUGCUCCUGCUGUAGCUGAGGGGGCAUUAAGUCUGUCUGUAUGUCAAUCCUUAUGUCCUAAAAUUGUUUUCCAUUCUCUAAAUUAUUUCAUGAACUUAUACACAAACAGUUUUAAAAUACAAAACUCAGGUCAAGUUUGAAUUUUGGUUGUGUCACUUUAACUUUUCUAGAGUUAUGCCCCUUAGCAAAUUAAAAAAUUGCAAAAUUUUCGUUCUGUCCAUUAGCUUAUGUUCGCCUCAACAAAUGUUAUGAAACUUAUAUACAAACAUAUUACUACAAAACAAAGAUCAAGUAGCAAUUAGGGUAGUAUCACUUUUACCGUCCGUGAGUUAUAUGCAAGUGGCGGCAUCAUCUGUGUCCCAUGGACACAUUCCCUAUUUAUUUUAACACUUUUAUUCUUACUCUUGUUUCCUAUAUAUGGUUAUUGUGCUUGUGACUGAGAGAUUUCUAAAUAAAUUCUUCUAGUUUAAUGUAGUUCAUUUAUGUCAAUCAACAAAAUAAAAAGAAUGAAGAUUUGAAGAUUUCUGUUUUUUGGGGUUUCCCUUUUUUUUCUUCAUAAUGCUGAAAUACAAAUUUUAUAGUCUAUCUUGAUUUUAAUUGCCUACUUGGUAUCAUCGCCUUCUUUUGAAACUAAGAUAUUUCAAUGACAUAACAACAUCACUAAAAUGGUUUAGAAUUGCAAUAUUAACUUCAGUUGAAUAUGAAUCUGUCCAUGUUUGUUUGUCAUAAAGCAAUAGCAGAUAUCUAGACAACAAAGAAACAUUCUGUUUUUGUUUUCCAAUAAACGUGUAUUGUUUCCGAAUAUUGACUUCUGUGAAAUACGAGUCUGAUCUGUUUUCUUUGUAAGUUACAUUGAUUCUGACAACAACAGAACAUUUUAAUCCACUUUGUGUUCGUGUGACGGACAUCUUGAUACUCUGGGAAUUCUAAUGAAAGAAUAUAAUUUCCAUACCAAAGCUUGUAUAAACUGUGCAAAUGAAUAUUAAGUAAGAAGAUGUGGUAUGAUUGACAACUCUCCACUAGAGACCAAAUGAUGUAGUAGUUGACAAUUAGGACCUUCAACAAUAAACAAAACCUGUUUGUCCUGUUGAUAUUGCAUGUGAUAACUUGUUCUUGUAUUUUGUGGUUGUGUUAUCCAAUUGCUGGGCAAUGCAAGCUUCUUUAAAGAUAAUUUGUUUCUCUGCUAUUAUAAAUUCAAUUUAAAUUGUUUAAUUUGUUCAGGUUGUCAUUAGAUAAACUGUCAUAGUCUUGUUGUGGGUAUGGAAGAAUGUCAAGGUCUUGCAAUUUUUCAGAAACAUUCACAAUAGGCCAAUAAUGUUAUUUCCAAAAGUAUUGGAACCCAAACAUUUAUAAAUAUUUUUUAGCUUCUGUUUAAUGGUUGCUGUCCUUUUAAAGUACAUCUCAAUGUACACCAAAUGGUUGAAUUCAAACCAUAAAGCCUAAAAAUAAAAAAAAUGCCAAGUCUGUCUAUGAUGACCUUGACUUAAGGGAUUUGAAUAUUGUUUUAUUGCAUAAUUUAAAAAUUAUCUUGAAAAAAUGAAACGCAAAAUAUUUCAUCUAAUUAUUUUGUUGUUGAAUAUUGCCAGUUGUUUUGUUGAUGUUUUUUAUUUAGUUUGACAAUAAACAAUUUUGAUUGAAGAGAUACGAUUGGUCAAUAAUCUUUUAUCUGUUUGUUCGUUGACACAUUUGACAAAUUGCUGAUACUUUUGCCAAUCCAGCUGUUUAUUAACCUUGGCUGUCUGUCAUUAAGAGUUUGUUUAUAAAAUGUAAUUAUGUUCAAUUAUUAAUCAAUAUUAAUUUGUAUGAAUGGAUCUUUUGAUGUUAUUUUAAUUGCUUUUAUCUCUUUCUUUGUUCACAUUCUAUCUGUAUUUAUAUAUGGACCAGCAGUAAUUGUAAACUAUUAUGGGACAUCGGUGCAACUUGCGUCAUGGUUGCUAAGAGGCUCCAAUAUAAAUGUUUUUGAUUUGAUAAUGAUUUUUCCUGUUGACAGAUUCUGUGAAAAAUCAAGUAUUUGAUAGAUUUUGACCUAUAAAUAUUUCACUGUAAAGGAGAUGUUUACUAUGUGCCAGAACUAGAACGUGCUGCAGUCGGUGAUAAUUCCUAAGUAGCAAAAUUAAUCUAUAAUAAACCUCUGGUACAAAACACUCUAAAAAAGAAUCAACAGCUAAGAGUAGUCUCCAGUCAGUGCCAGCUGAGGCCCAGCAGCCCUGGCUUGUCAUCACUACAAGCCCACAUAAUGUUUUCUAAAACCUGAGCUCCAGGCCUGGCACCACAUUUGAAAGUUUAUCGUGAAGACUGAUUCCCUUGACAAAAACAAAUACAGAUCUCUAGUAACAUAUUUGGACUAGCCAUAAUUUUCUACAGCUUGGUCCUAUGAUACACAAAAUUAGUAUUCAUGAAAAUAUUUAUUUCUUUUAGAUAUAACUUGAGAAAAAUAUUCUAGCAUUGUUGCUAUUUUUAAAAUUCCAGACUUCGAACUCUGCAGGACAGGGAAACCUUUUCUGCCAGAAAAUUGUCAUCUGGCUUCUGACAUUAAAACAUGAUAAAUCUGACUGUUCUAAUUAGAAAUUCUUUCCCCAGGGUUCUUCAUUGUCAAGAAUAAUGAGUUUAAUAACUGCUUUAUAAUAAUUAAUAUUUGAUGCUCACAGAAGUUAUUAGAUGUUUCAAUUUUCCUAAAAAAAAUUAUCAAUGAUCAAAACCACAAGGUUACAAUAUUGCAUAAUGGUAUGAACAUAUCUCUUAUUUAAAGCUGUGAAAUCAAAGAGUUUUUCUCUUUUUUUAUUCGUGCCUGAAUAUUUCAUUUUCGAACAUAUAAUAUUCCUAAAUUCUUAUCAAUACCUGAUAAAAAGAUAUUUCCUCAUUAAAUGUGAAAAAGAUGAUUGCUCUGUCUGUAUUUUUAGCAUUAAUUGUUUUCCAUAUUUUGAAAUAAAAAUGGGCCCUCUGUCACAAAACUGUACUCAUUACUUGGAGUACAAAAAAUGUGCCUGAAACACAUAAUCCAGUGUUUUGAUUAGUUGAUUUCUGAGUUUGAGCAUGGUUAUUGUGCACCAAAUUUUUAUGAUUGCCAGGCUAGAAUAUAUUUUUGAUAUUUUAACCUUAUAUUAUAAAAAUGUUGAUUUAUAGUUACAUGAUUUCCAGUGAGACAAUUAUCUACCAGAGUUCAAAUGGACUAGCUGGUAGUAAGCAAUUAUAGUUCUAUCUUUUCAUGUAAACAACAAACAGUAUAUUCUGCUGAUGAUUGUACUAGUAAUUAUUAUUCUUUGUAUGUGGGUGGAUCAGAUGUCAGUAGGCGAAUGUGUUGAUAUUGUUUUGUUUUUUUUUUCUCCUUUUUAUUUUUUAUACAUUAUAAAAAAUGUUAAAUCUUGCUGAGUAUUUUUGAAUGUCAAAUCUUGCUGAGUAUAAUGUCAAAUCUUGCUGAGUCGGUCAGCAUGCAAAAAAUAUGUCCAAGACUCCAAGCGAGGUUUUAAGUAUUUUUCAGAAAAAAUGAUGUUAUAUAUCUUACCAACAUUAUAGGCCAAUAAUGGGAAAUUAAAUAUCUUCUUCUUAAAUGUUGAACUUCUGAAGACAUAGACAAUUAAUGCAAUUUCCUACAAGAAAUAUUUUACAUCUGAAAAUGUCCAACUUUUACUACAAAGUUUCAUAAGACAUCAUAUGUGUAUUCAUGUGUUGUUGUUUUUUUUUUUUGUGUUUAUUAUUUAAAUGUACUGUAAUCAUUCUAAUCAUUUUCUGUACUUUAUUUUGUGAUUCAUUCAAUUGUAUAGCUCAAAUUUUGGGCACCAUGAUUGGUUAAUAAAAUUAUCUUAUCUUAUCUUAUAUCAUUGAAUAGAUUAUAAGAAAUCACAUGCACUAUAUAUAUAUAUAUAUAUAUAUAUAUAUAUAUAUAUAUAUAUAUAAUGAUUUUUAGUAAUGUAAUGAUUUUUAGUAAUGUACUGCCCCUCCCUUUACUUUGAGUCUUGUUUAUUUAGAAUUCAAUUAGAAUGUUACCCACCUGCAUAUUAUACUGUGAAAAUUCAUAAAUUGUUUCUCUGCAUGCAUGAGAUUAAACAAAGAGAUAAUAUCUUGGAACCUGAGAAGAUUAAAGAAACAAAAGGGUCAAUCAAAAAGACCCAAAACAAACUGAUCAAUAAAAGAAACAACAAAAGAUUGAGUAAAACAAAAACUGAUAAAAAACAGUGUUCCAGGGAUGAAUUGAAAAACCAAGGGGCAGUCACUUAAUUAUGCAUAAUAAAUGAGAAAACAACCCCAUAAAUGAAAUGGCAUUUGUAUAGAUACAUGUACCUUAUAAGUUAUAUGGUUUGCUACUGACCCCCUACAGAUCCAUAGAGGGUUAGUAAAAUCCAUAGGGGGUGACGUCGUAGGGGUUCAGUAGUGAACCGUAUAACGAGUUUAUCGCAUGCAGGACUUUUCCUGCUGCGUUUUGUAGAAAAAUAAACAAUGAAAUACAACAUCAAUAGACGACGUCACCAUUAACAGUAGGACGUGACGCCAUGAACCCCCUAUGAAAUUUACUAACCCCCUACAUUCUCAUAGGGGGUCACCACGUGAUAUUUUACCUGCUGUGCGAUAAACUGGAAUAUAUUUGUCCCAUAUUUAGGGCAAGAAUGAUUUAACAUAAUGCUGUCAAAUGUUGUUGCAAAUGGAAUGAAUUAGAAAUGCUGAUAUGGCAAAGCCACUGUUUUAUAUAGGUAUGUUAGGAGUAGCCUUUGCUUCCGGCAUCAAAAGCCUUCUUUUCACUACUGUUGGUAUCAUAUUAAUCUUGAAUCUGAUUGUCAUUAAAGCUGUCAGAUUGUACUUUUCAGCUACUAUUUACCGAAAAAAGGUUAAUGCAUGGUUAAUAUUAAACGAAAAAUUUGCUGUCAAUUUUCAUGGUUGCUACUUUAUUACCACCCUCAAUGCGUAGUGAUUUAUAUAUAUAUAAUAGAGGAAAUUGUCUAUGAAACAAAUAAUAACUAAUAUUUUAUGCCCCACUCAGGGGCAUAACCUGUUUCUGUCGAUGUGUCUGUUCAUUUGUUUGUCCUUUUGUUCGUUUGUUUGUCCCUCUUCAGGUUUAAGUUUAUGGUCAAGGUUGAUAUUGAUGAAGUUGAAGUCCACAAUCAACUUGAAACUUAGUACUAAUGUUCCCUAUUAUAUGUUCUUAUAAUUAUAAUGCCUAAUUAGACCCCAAUUUCACAGUCCAAUGUAUAUAAAAAUGAUAGUGUGAGUGGGGCAUCCGUGUAUUAUGGACAUAUUCAUGUAUUUUCAUCAAUUUUAUUGGAUUUUGCUUUUAAAUGUGAAUAAAUUCGUGAGAAAAACAGUUAAGAUUAUAAAGAAGAAAAUUCCACACAUCAUGUUGAGAGUCGGAAUUUUGAAAAAGUCAUUAAGUACUUCAAACUGUUAUGUACUUCUGCUAAAACAAACAUAUUAGAUAGAGAAAAAUCUAAAUAUAUAUAUUAAUACUCUUUUAAAUAACUGCUAAUCUUACUAUAUGACUUUUUCAAGGAUGGCACCUGCCUUAUUUUAGUAAUAAAUAUAGGUAAAAUUGAGAAUGGAAAUGCCAAAGAGACAACAACCCGACCAUAGGCGUCCUUCAGCUGGCCCCUAAACAAAUAUAUACUAGUUCAGUGAUAAUGAACGCCAUACUAAUUUCCAAAUUGUACACAAGAAACUAAAAUUAAAAAUAAUACAAGACUAACAAAGACCAGAGGCUCCUGACUUGGGACAGGCGCAAAAUAUGUGGCGGGGUUAAACAUGUUUGUGAGAUUUUCAACCCUCCCCUAUACCUCUAGCCAAUGUAGAAAAGUAAACGCAUAACAAUACGCACAUUAAAAAUUCAGUUCAAGAGAAGUCCGAGUCUGAUGUCAGAAGAUGUAACCAAAGAAAAUAAACAAAAUGACAAUAAUACAUAAAUAACAACAGACUACUAGCAGUUAACUGACAUCGCCAGCUCCAGAAUUCAAUUAAACUGACUGAAAGAUUAUGAUUUCAUCAUAUGAACAUCUGACAGGCACAAUCCUUCCCGUUCGGGGUUUAGUAUCAUACCAUCAUAACAUAUAUGAGAAGAACAUAAUCCGUGUCAUGCCAACAACUGCUUUUUGAAUAAAUGUGUUUAGUUCCGAUGCAAAAGACCUAUAAGUGAAUCAAUAUUAACGUCAAAAUAUGCAAUCUUUAAUGAACUGACAACAGUAUCGUAACUAUAUCCCUUCUUAAUAAGUCUAUUCAAAGGUUUUGUUAGUUUUUGAGGUGAAUACUGACACCUUUGUGCUUUAUAAAGAAAUAUUUCCAUAAAAAAUUGGAUGUGAAAUACCUGAACGUAUAAGAAGUAUGCAUGUUGAGCUAUAUUUACGAAUGAUGUCCUUAUACCGAUGAUAAAAUUUAGUAAAUGUUUUGACUAGUUUGUGAUAUUGAAAACCCUGGUGUAAUAAUUUUUCAGUAAUACAUAAAUUUCUCUCGUUAAAAUCUAAAACAUUGUUACAUACACGAGCGAAUCGUACAAGUUGAGAUAUAUAAACACCGUAAGAUGGUGACAAGGGAACGUCACCAUCUAAAAAUGGAUAAUUAACGAUAGGAAAUGAAAAAUCAUCUCUUUUAUCAUAAAUUUUAGUAUUCAGCUUUCCGUUAGUGAUAUAGAUAUCAAGAUCGAGGAAAGGGCAGUGGUCAUUGUUAGUAUUAGCUUUAUUUAAAUUAAGUUCAACAGGAUAAAUUUCUUUAAUAUACAUACUGAAGUCGUCAUUAUUGAGAGCCAAAAUAUCAUCCAAAUAUCUAAAAGUAUUAUUAAAUUUGUUUAUCAGAUGUUGUUUCGAUGGGUCUUUGCUUAUUUUUGUCAUAAAUUGUAACUCAUAGCAAUACAAAAACAGGUCCGCAAUAAGUGGUGCACAGUUAGUCCCCAUUGGAAUUCCGAUAAUCUGACGAUAUACGGAAUCCCCAAAGCGAACAAAAAUGUUAUCUAGUAAAAAUUCAAGGGCGUAUAUAGUAUCAAAGCAUGUCCAAUUGACAUAGUUUUUUUGUUUAUUGCUACUAAAAAAUGACCUAAAAGAGUUUGAACAUAUAUAUUCACAUUCUGACUUUUUAAAUGCCCAUUUAAUUAGGUGUGUGAAUUUUUUCUCAAUGAGAAUGUGAGGCAGUGUGGUAUACAGGGUAGAAAAAUCAAAACUUUGAACAGAUUCAAAAUCACCAAUAUAAGCAUGCAAUUUAUCAAGUACUUCCAACGAGUUCUUGACACUCCAAAAGUAAUUAAUUCCACUAUUUUCGAAAGCCUUAUUUGAACAAUUUAUUAUCAGGUUUUUAAUUGUACGAAGGUAUAUAUUUGUCAGAUGAUAAUAAAUGUAUAUAUGCUGAAGCUAUAUAAUCAUUUACUAUAGAAUUUUAAAAAGAAGUUUGCCCCUCUCUUUUUUGAGUGAGCAUACUUCUCCUUCACUGAAUUGUCCUUAUAGUUGUCAUAUUAGAAUUAUAUUUUAAAUUCCACAUGAUAAUAUAAACUUGUAAAUUGGUCGAUUUCGGUAGUAAUGGUGAUGAUUUUCUUGUUGGCAGUUAUCACUUCUAUAUUUGAACAAAGUCUGUAAAUAAACUAUUAAAAAAAAUAUCUAUGAGAACAAUUAAAAUAAUGAUAAGUAUUUCGGUGUGCCAUGAGCACAUAGCACCAGUGUUCAGUGAUUAACUUUCAUUUGAGGAAGAUGUUUUAGAAAAAAAUGUUAAUGUGAGCUUCUGCCAUUACUUGGAGUCAAUUGUUAGAGGCAUCUAUUGUUGUUGCCAUAAUGGACAUUAUUAAUUUUUCAAGGAUCUACUCAAAAACUACUUGAUGAUUUAUGCUCAUAUUUUAAUGUUAUAAGCAGAUCAAUCAUUUGACAAUAGAGAUCAUCUAAGAUGGAUUUGAAGGGGAAAGUUGACUUGUUUUGCCAAGUUUCUGGAAAGCACUAAAACGUUAUAUAUAUUCUAUAAAUUUGAAUAAAAAUACUGCAAUAGGACAUAUUAUUUAAGUCUAUUUUGAUAUUGCACUUUUCAACUCAUCUUCUUUACUUGACUUGACUUAAUUCACUUCGUCCCAUUGGACACAUGGCAACUACAGUAGCUUUUCGUCUUGUCCUGUCCUUGGCUAUUUUCUUUGCUUCUCCCUAUGUUUUACCAAUUUUCUGUAGAUCAUCAGAUGUUAGAUCUCUGUGCCAGGUGGAUUUUGGUCACCCUCUUUUACUAUGACCCUGGGGAUUCCAGUCUUAAAUGCCUGUUACAUUUGUGUUGUUUUUACGUAACGUGUGUCCAGUGUAUUGGUUCUUGUCUAGUCCUUUUCCAUAGUUCUUUGUUGCUGAUUGUAUUUGGCCACUUGAUUCCAAUGAUGUUUUCUAAGACACCUGUUCAUGAAAACUUGUAAUGUUUUGGUAGACGCAGCUGUUAGUCCCUAUGUUUCUAACCCAUAUAGAAGUAUAGACUUUACUUUAAAGUUGAAGAUCCUGAUUUCAAUGUUUGUUCUGAGUGCUUUGCUCCUACAGACUGGCAUCUCUCAUUUUGGUAUUGUUAAGGUGGUUCGGGUUUACUCUCAUAGAUUUUGUCUUAAUUUUCAUUUAUGUACAGUCCUACUUGUUUUGCAGUUGUUUCAAGGUUGGUUGCUCAUCUUCCAUCCCUCACAAAAAAUAAAUCGAUUUACAUGUACUUUAGAUAGACAAGAAUGCAGAUAUGUUUUUUUUCAAAUACAUAUUAAAGCUGCUUAUUAAAUAUGUUGACCAUUUGUUAAGUUAUGCAAGUUUGUUCAUGUACCCUGUGAUAAUAUUGGAAAUACAUGUAGAUAAUACAAGACCACAAACUGUAUAGAAACUUGAAGCUUCUUAUUUAAAUCUCUACUCAUUGAAAAUGGAGAUUUUAUUUGAUUAUUGGACAGUAUCUUAAACAAAUAGAUUACAUCACCUUUUAUUGUAUUUGCUCAAUUGAAAUUUGUGUUCAGUAUGUGUCACUCAAACAAUUUAAUCUUUUUUCACAUUCUGAGAGAGAUGUCCUGAAAGUUUAUAAUCUAAUAGUGUGAAUUUAACAAAAAUAAGCAUAAAGUUUAAAUGUAUGUCACCAAAUUUAUUUAUUUAAUUGUCUUUGGUUUAGAUUCAGUAUAAUUUGUUUCAUUUAGAUGCAAUUGAAAGCUUUGAUUUUUUUGGGGGGAUUUUUUUUAUUUUUUUUUUUGGGGGGGGGAGGGGUAAUUUUGAUUAAGUGUCAGAAAAUAACAUUCUUUAUGUCACCUGUUGCUAAUUACAGGUAAAUGGUACAAUUAUUAAUUAACAUACAGAAACCACCUGCCUAUUAUACAGUUAAAUCACCAAUAAUUAAUUAGAUCCAUAUUGAAUAUUAUGAUUGGUGGUUAUAAUAUUUGUGAAUUUAGUGACAGAUUCAUAAUUAAGUGACAGUGUUUCAUAUAUUAUAAAAUCCAUAAUCCCUGGAGACGUCAUAAUACAUAAUUUGUAUUGAUUAUAGACUACGGACAUCAAUCGCCUUAUGGUAGAUCGGGAACAGAGGCUUCAUCAAUAAUAUAUCCCAGAAUGCAAUGCGUCUAUUGAUUACAUUCACAGCAUCAAUCAAUACUAUCUAGCUUUGGUGUUGUUAUCAUGGAAAUUUUGUCUUCAAUGUGAAAAUGGAUAAUUUUUCUCUAUUUCCAAAAUGUGACAUGGAUUAUUAUUAAAGUUUUGUGAUUUUAAUCAAACUUAUCAGAUUUGUAAAUUAGUGACCACAACAGGCAGGUAAGAGAGAAUGUAUGGAAGCACAAAAAAUGGAUGUUAAAAUUAAAAUAAUUAUAAACUCCGCCAUUUUCCACUAUUGAUUUUUGGUCGGUUUAUGGAAGAAAGUUGUUUUGACAUUUCUGGAAGAGAGAAUCCUUAUGACAGUUUUGAACUUGAGAUCUGUAAUUUGUUGCUGAUGAUAAUUUCAUAUAUUUAAUCAAAUAUACUCAGCAAUUAUCUCUAUCUUAAACAAAUCAUUUCUGUUGUGAAUUUAGAUAUUGUAUGUAUUAAUAAUUAAAACAAACACCUCUUAGAAAUCAUUAAUUAGCAUAAAAUAUAUAUAGUUUGAUUCCAUGAGGGUUUUUUUACCACCCCAAUUUUAAUUAAACUAUACUAUCCUGUAGUAUAUGUCAUCAUAUCUAUAAAUAUACAAAUGAAACAUAUUAAAUAAUCUGUUUUUAAAUUUCUUUAAAUAAUAUAUUAAACUGUACCAAUUUUAACGCACAAGAUGCAAAUUUUCAACAACUAUAAUGUCCCUUGAAUGAUUCUCUAGGCCAAAAUAUUAAAAAUCCAAAUCCAAGUUCAGAGCUGACAUUCAUGACCAAAAAGAACCAAAUUUAUACAGCCAAACCUAGCCAAAAACACUUUUUAUUUUUCAGAGAAUUUGUUAUUUGAUAUAUAUGAUUUAAGAGUUUUUUUUAUAUUGAAGAAAAUAUUAAAUGUUCUAUUUGAUUUGAUUAGCCUAAUAAAAAAAAUUACCUAAUAAUAAUUAUAUAUACAUGAAUAGAAACAUAUUGACCAUUGAUUUGAGUUUCUCCGCUCUGAUGUUGAGUAGGAUCUGCUUGCCCUUCCAGAACUCCUGAGAUCACCACUGUUUUUAUAUAGCAUUAAAAUCAUUAGUUUUCUUGUUGUGUUUGGUUUUUUUUUUGCUUCUCUUUUUUUUUGCCAUGGCGUACGUUGUCAGCUAAUUUUCGACUUAUAAGUUUGAAUGUCCCUUUGGUAUCUAUUCCUUCUCUCUCUCCUCCUUUUCCACCUUUCAUGUUUGAAGAGGGCAAGGUUUUCAUCAUUUUCUCUUCUUGGCACAUUGUAUUUUAAUUUCAUAAUAGAUUUAAGAAAAAUUCAGAUUCCAGGGAUAUCUAGUUAUAUCAGUCUUUACGAUGAACUAUUAAAUCUACAGACCCAGAGCUCAAUUUUCAAAUUUUUUUAGUAAGAUUCUGUUGGCCUGUAGAUAUGAUUUUUACAGGCCCGAGAGCAAUUUUACUAGCCUGGGCUGCCACUCAGCGUGAAGACUAGUUAUAUUCAAAUAUCUUUUGGACAAAAUCACCACAGGGUGAGGGAGGGGGAAUAUUCAUUCAUGGCACCUCAAACUACAACAUGUGCAACACAUAACAUACAUAAGCACCCCUGCUUUUAAAAGAGUUUCUCAGAGUAGUAUUUUCAGGGUGUUUUUUUUUUUUUUAUCGCUUAUCCAGAUUGAAUAGAGGGAGAUAAUUUUGAUAAUUUGAUAAAAAAAAAAAAAAUAGAAUUAUUCACAAAAUAAAUUGAUAAAUAGGAAGGCUUUUUUCCAGUUUAUUGAUGUAUGUUAAAUGACAAAGUACAAUUUUCUGAAUUAAGUAAUAACCAUUAGUUUUAUAUUAGCUUUAACAUAAAACAUAAUUUAUGAUCUGAUAUUUUUUCCUUAUUUCUGUCAGAUUUCUCAAUUUUGACUUUCAAAGAAAUAGAAAAUAAAUCCUAAUUUAGUGGUUUUGAUAAUAGACAAACUUCUCCAUAUUUACCAUAUAAGAUGACCUUUGUGUAACUUUUGCCUCUGUUUUGGAUAUGUUUAUGGAUUUGGAAUCUGUCAUCAAAUUGAUACAUGUACCUUUAAAACUGCCUUUGUAAGGCAAUAAAUAAUAAUGAAUUGCUUUAUUAUUUAGCCUUUGUUCUGGUUUUAUUGACAACCCUCAUGAAAAAAAGGUGUCUGAAUUCUGUCUGACAAGUAUUCUUAAUUUUUCUUAAUUUUUUCUGAAUUAUGUCUGAAUGGCUAAAAUAAUGUACAUUUACGCAAAUGUCUGAAUUUUUACUGGAUUUCGGACUUUUAAGGAACAAUUCAGAAUUUUCAUAUGAACAUUCAGACAAAAAUCAGAAUAGCAUUCAGACAAAAAUCAGAAUUAUGUAAGAAUGAAUUAAGGCAAUAUUCAGAAUGAAUUCAGAAAAAUCUGAAUUUAAUCAGAAAGAUUAAGAAAUAAUCAGACACAUUCAGAAAUAUCCAGAUAACAUUCAGAAAUAUCCAGACAACAUUCAGAUGGAUUCAGACAGAUUCAGAAGAUUCAGAUAUAUAUUCAGAAAACAUUCAGAAUGUGGAUAUCCAUACAAAACUUUGUAACUUAUACAACAGAUAUUCCCCUAAAAACCUAAAAAGAAGUUCUUAAAGUUGAAUGAAAAUCAAUGUAAGCACAUUGAUGAUGGUCAAAUACCCUUAGCCUCUAUUCAAUAAUAAACAAAAUCCAAAUUUUCAGGAAGUUUGCAAAUUAAUAGUUUCAAUAACAUAAAAUUCAAACUUUAAAUUUUCAAUUUAAUUUUAUUAUCUGAUAUGGAUCUGUGAUUCCCUGGUCUGUUCUUUUCCUGUCUCUCGAGGUCUCCAUCUCUCUUGUGACCUGAAUAAAUAAAAAAACAAGCUAAUAAAAGAACAGAACUUCAAUGUCUCUUGUGUUGCAUUUUUCUUGUCUGCCCAGGGACAAUAACUAAAAUUCCACAAAUUCUUGUUUGAACUGUUAUUAAAUCACUAUGAUAUUUCUUCCCGUUUCCCUAAAUCCAACCCUUGACAUUGAUGAUGUAAGCCAUUGAUAUACAUUUUAUAAAAAUCUGGCAUGAAUUGCCACAUGACAUGUACCGGUAUGAGUGCUAUUUUUCUGUAUUUAAUUAACAUUAGAAAAACAAAACAUUCUUUGAAUGGAACUUUGCCAUUAACAAAUACACAACUUCCUAGUAUCAAGAAAAUUUUAAUUAAUUUUAAUUAUAAAUGGUCAUAUAUCUAUGCAAUUCUUCAAUCCCAUAUGCAAUACAUGUAUUUUUUUUGGGGGAACCAAUUUUUGGGACAAAUUCAGUUGACUUUUAAAAUCUUUGACCUUGACCUCAUAAUUAGUUGCUGAUUUUUUUUUUAUUUAUAGUUUAAUGUAUUAGUUUUAAUGAAUAUGCAAUUAAAGAACCUUAGUGAUUUCGCUCACAUACCCCACAUCCCCACAUUUUCAUUUGAGAAAUAAAAUAAGUGCAAGAAUAAAAAAUUACCGGUAUAUCAUAAAAAAAAAAUUGAAUUAUAAUUUCCUUAUAUGUCCUUAUUAUCUACAAAGUUUCAUGAAAUUCUGUCGUGUGGUUUCAGAGGAGUUGCAAUGACAAACUGUUGCAGUAGUACAUUGAAGCAAAUAAGUUCAAAGGGGCGUAACUCCUAUAGAAAAAAUUGAAUCACAAUUUCCGGUCAAUAUGCACAACUACAUAGUAUUUCCUUAUUAUUAUCCACAAAGUUUCAUGAAAUUCUAAAUGUGGUUUCAGAGGAGUUGCAGAAGUACAUUAAAGCAAAUAAGUUCAAAGGGGCGUAACUCCUAGAAAAAAAUUUGAAUCAUAAUUUCAUGAUGUAUGUCCUUAUUAUCUACAAAGUUUCAUGAAAUUCUGUUUGUGUGGUUUCAGAGGAGUUACGAUGACAAACUGUUGCAGUAGUACUAGUACAUUAAAGAAAAUUAGUUCAAAGGGGCAUAACUCCUAGAAAAAAAUUAAUAAUUUCCUGUUGAUAUGCACAACUGCAUUAUAUGUCCUUAUUAUCUAAAAAGGUUUUAUGAAAUUCUGUUGUGUGGUUUGAGAGAAGUUGCGAUGACAAGAAACGGGACUGAUGAACUGACAGAUGGACAGACCUGACAGACAGAUAGACUGAGACAGGUCAAAAACAUUAUACCCUCUGCAACUUCGUUAGUUGCGUGCGGUAUAAUUAAUGUAGGAAUUAAUUAUUUCAAAUAUAUGUGUCAGUGUCAUAAAUAAAUUUAAGGCUUUGCUUGUUGUUAAAUUUAAAGGCUGUAUGGUGACCAUUAGCUAUCAUUGUUCUCAUCUACAUUUGUACUGCAUUCAUAUAGUAGAUAGUUGUCUCAUUGGAAAACAUUCCACACUUACAGCUUAUUUUUAUACUAUUAAAACUAUAAAGCAUGUACAUACCAGAUUCAAUUGAUUUUGCACCAUUUUUCUUUUUAAUAGUUCUGUUCAAAAACAUGAACAUUUAGUCGGAUGUCUCUUUCACUGACAUCUGUGGAACCAAUUCUAAAAAAUUAAAUUAAAAUAUUAGUAUCAAUACUGACACCUAAAUUUAUGAACUCGUAUAAAAUAUUCAACAGUUGUCUUAAAGUGAAAUUCAAAAAGAGCCAUCAGAAAACACUUAUCAAAAUUUGAUGGGUUGUGUUUUUUUUAAGAAAGAUAUUGGAAAUAUAAUCAACUAAAAGUUUUAUCAGUGUUGAUUUAAAACAAAAAGUGUCUUUCGACCCUUUCACUUAGAACAGAACAGCCCUUACUGUGAUUUUAAAUAGAUUAAUGCACAAGUAACAUGUGCAACAACGGUAAUAUAUUAAUAAACCGAAGGUAAGAAUAUCUAAGUGAAGUACAUUGUAUUUGCCACUGGAUGUAAAGCAAAAAAGUAAAUAUUUGUAUAUUCUUAUAAAUUGAAAGGUUCCUGUGUCUCAUCUCUGACAUUCUUACCUCAAAACAAUUGGUACUUUUCCACAUUAUCAUAAACACAAUGAUGCAGAUCAUCUUUCAUCAAACUUCAAAUGGCCCAGUUCUUAAAAAAGAAGAGAAUAUUGUUUUUUAUUGGUACAUUGUAUAAAAAUUGAUUUUGUUAUAAGUCAAUUAAAACCAUACUAAAUAUUAUUUUAAACACAUGCACAUUUAACUGUUCAAUUUAAAAAAAAAAUAGUAAUGGUAGGUACAUGUAGGUAUUGAUUUAAUUAAGCCUACUUUGGUUACAUCUUCUGUCAUCAGACUCGGACUUCUCUUGAACUGAAUUUUAAUGUGCGUAUUGUUUGCGUUUACUUAGGGGGAGGGUUGAGAUCUCACAACAUGUUUAACCCCGCGCAUUUUGCGCGCCUGUCCCAAGUCAGGAGCCUCUGGCCUUUGUUAGUCUUGUAUUAUUUUAAUUUUAGUUUCUUGUGUACAAUUUGGAAAUUAGUAUGGCGUUCAUUAUCACUGAACUAGUAUAUAUUUGUUUAGGGGCCAGUUGAAGGACGCCUCCGGGUGCAGGAAUUUUCUCGCUACAUUGAAGACCUGUUGGUGACCUUCUGCUGUUGUUUUUUUUCUAUGGUCGGGUUGUUGUCUCUGACACAUUCCCCAUUUCCAUUCUCAAUUUUAUACUAUAUUCUAUGUGCCUGUACCAAGUCAGGAGCCUGUAAUUGUGUUUUGCUGUUUGUUAUAUUUGUUUUUCUUUUAAUGUUUUGCAUAGUUUGUUAAAAUAUUGUGUCAUAACACCACUUUCCUGUUUGGUGCACUCAAAUUUAGUUCAAUUCCUCCACAUUCUAUAUGUGCCUGUCCAAAGUCAGAAGCCUGUAGUUGAGAGUGGUUCAGGUUGUUGUUGUUUCGUGUACUGUCAAUUAUGUCUUGUUUUCGUUAACUGUUUUGUAAUAAAUUGGACUUUUAAAUUUUUUAAAUUGAAUCGUUUCAUAUUGUAAAUGUUCUUGUCAGGAUUGUCAAGACCAAUUAUUGCCAUAAUACAUGGUAUAGGUUUCAUAGGCGGAUCCCAGGGGCCCUAGUUUUUAGUGGCUUUGAACUAGCUGUACGUAACUUUAAGUACUCUCAGAUCAGUACUUAGUAUCUUUUUUUUUGGAUAUUCAAGUACCCCAACCACGUCUACUCUGUUUUUGCUACCGGUAGUUGUAUUUUUUUUGUAUCCAUCUGAUGAGUUUAGCAAUUUUUUAACAGAUUUCUAUAGUUCAUUCUUUUGUGUACUGUUACACAACUGUCCUAUGUUUAGGGGGAGGGGAAUUCCUGCUAUGUGUUUAACCCCACCACAUUCUGUAUGUAUGUGCCUUUCCAGAGUCAGGAGCCUUUAAUUCAGUGAUUUGAAAUGUUUUACAUUUGUCAUUUUGGGGCAUUUUAUAGUCAGUCUAUUUGGUACAGGUGUUGCUCAUUGUUGAAGGCCAUACAGUGACCUAAAGUUGUUAAUUUCUGUGUCAUUUGGUCUCUUGUGGAGAGUUGUCUCAUUGCAUAUCAUACUUAUACAGCUUAUGGCUAUUCCUGGCUGACCCAAGAAUCUGUCUCGCAUGAACUAUUGGUAUCAUACAACAAUCACUUUUCCAUUGUGGUGUCAGAUGUUUUGUAUUAUGACUUCAAAACUUUACGGGAACCUCUGUGAUGUCCACAAAUAGUGAUAAGGUGUAUAUUGGUAAUUGUAAUAAGUUCUGUAAAUUCAGAAACUAUUUCAUGCAUUUAUUGAUUAAGAUAUUGUCAUUUCAAAAUAAAGUGUGAUUUCAUAGUGGACUAUACAGUAUGGGCUUUGCUCAUUGUUGAAGGCUGUACAGUUACCUAUUAAUAUUAUUGUUAAUUUCUGUCAUUUUUGGUCUCUUUUGAAGAGUUGUUUCAUUGGCAAUCAUACCAGAUCUUCUUUUUUUUAAACUGUCAGACGUCAUAAUUAUUUCGACUAUGUUUACCCUAGUCCCCUAGUCCAAAUAAUUAUGACGUCUUGAAAGGCUAUUAUAUUUUUUUUCCUUGACAACAAAAAAAUAUAAUAGCCUUUCAAGAUGUCAUAAUUAUUUGGACUAUGUUUACUCAUAUAAUUUAUAAUUACAUGUUCAUUGUUGUUUUUAAUUUUGCAUAGUAUAAUCUGACUUAUAAUAUAAGGAAACGGCCAUUUGAUAUUCUGUCACAGGAGGAGGCACGAUUAAUUUUGGAAUAUUUAUUUUGUGAUUCCUGAUUGUUUUAUUUUUUAGUUGUCAAAAAAGAUAGUUGUAAAUAUCCUUUAUUUUGGUGUGUAAAGUAAUUUUUCAUUCUGAUACCUUUAAAGGCAAGGCUAGUCCAAAUAAUUACGACGUCUGGCAAGGCUAUUUUAUCUUUUUUCUGGGACGAUGUUAGUCCAAAUAAUAACGGUAUAACAUCUGGCAAGACUAUUUUAAUUUUUUUCUGGGACGCAGUCGUAAGAAGGUGUCCCAGAAAAAAAUUUAAAAAGCCUUGCCAGACGUCAUAAUUAUUUGGACUAGGACGAUGUCAUAGGCAGGCAUCAGGCCGGGCCAGAUGUUAUAAUUAUUUGGAUCAUCCAAAUAAUUAUAUACAUCUGGCAAGGCUAUUUUAUUUUUUUCUGUGACGCCGUCGUAGGAAGGCAUCCCCCCAAAAAAAAAAGCCUUGCCAAACGUCGUUAUUAUCUGGACGAGAACGAUGUCAUAGGAAGCCCCCCCCCCCCCCACCCCCCAAAAAAAAAAGCCUUGCCACACACAGGACAUAGGGCAUGACAAGAUUAUUCAAUUUCCAAAUCCCCUGCCCCACCCACAAUAUUAAAUGGCCGUUUCCAAAUUAAAAAAUUAUCAUUGAAAUGGACACAUAGUCAUACCCCAUAAUCGUUAUUGGCACUGCUUUUUGUAUAGCCUGUUGUCACUUGCAGUUGUUGAUAUUUGUGUUGUAUGUGCAUUUGGAUUUACACUGACAGUUUACAAGUUGUAGUCAAUUUCCUGGGCAAGUAGAAAACCAUCUUCUGAAUGGCAGACGUCAUUUUUUCCUUUAUAUCAAGCUGUUAUACAUAAAGGUUCUCGUUUAUCUUUAAAAUAUCUGUCCUGCAGCGUUCAAACGUUGUCUGCGUCACACGAUCUAGAUCUAACAUGAAAACCAACUCCGGAUCAUUUUCCGGAUUAUAGACGAUUACGUUCACCGAUUACCAUGAAAUCGCCCGCCGAGAAUAAAUAUAUCGUACAUGGAAAUUUUUACUUUAUUUCUGAAACUAAUAUAACACACGUGUUAUAGUUGUCUCAGCUGUCUUGUAUGAUUAAUUUAUGGAGGUUUUCAACCACUAUAAAUAUCCGUCUACUUAAAUUUCCAGUUAUAUCAUAUGCCCCCUUAUAUACGUUUAUAAUGUAUUUACUGGAACUAUUAUACUAACUGUUAUUGUAAUAGUCCUAGGUUUUUACCACAGACGUAUUUUUACGUAGCAAGUUCAACAAACGGACAAGAAAAAAGGGAUUUUUUAGGGCUGCAUUUGUCAUAAAAACAAUUAACCUACAAACCGACUCGCUGUGAGAAAAACGUCACGAACUUUAAAUCUGGUUGGGUAAAAAAAUCGUUAGUAUACUGUGACUGUCCCUGUGAGAACUGGUCGUAUUCUUAUAUACUCCACUUUUUAAAUUAAUAAUGACAACUUUUAACAAUGUCAUCAUAUUUUCCCCUACAGGAGCCUCAACGAUAAUUGAUUCCUGUCAAUCAAGUAAGCAGUUAACCCGAUAUCUUAAUUUCUCACCAAUCUAACCUGGUGCAGUCGACACGCUUUUGUACUUCGAUGUCAGUUAUCUAUUUCGUAAGCGAUGUCAAGUUCCAACGCUCAAGCAGCAGAUUGUAUAGUUAAUGCAAUACACAAAUCAUUUAAAAAAAAACGCCAUUGGCAUUUUUGUAACGGCGAUGUCAAGUUAGUUGAUUGCAUAAUAUCUGCAAUAAAUAUUACAUUUGUAAAACGGAAUUGACCUUUACCUAGUAGAUCAAUGAUUUUAUCUUUCAUCUACAUCUACGACACUGGAAAAAGGAACUUUGUUGGAAUUUUUAAACUUGUCAGUGAAAAAAACCCAGUGAAUAACGGGCGAUUUGAAUCUGAUGAAAACUGGUUUUUCACCCAAACUUUAACUGAUAUUUGUUGAAUUUAUUGAAAACAGAACAUUGCUGUUGAAAGCAGUGCCGAAAUUUUCUUUAAAAAAGAAAUACGACAUUGGAAUGAAAUCACUGAAACUUGGCUUAAACUUUUUUUUACAUUCCCGUAAUUUUUUCAAUAAAGAACUAUCAUUUCAUGUUCAGGGGGAGGGUUGGGAUGGAAUCAGUUACAAAAAAAGUAGAGAAAAACAGGCAGGACGAAAUUUUUUAUAAAAAGGUCAUGAUAAGAAAAUGGCAGGACUGAUGACUGAUAACAGCGAAUAUAUAAGAACGCAUGCAGGAUAGAGAUUACAACACGUGAAAUAAAAUACAGGACAACAUGUUUCACCCUAGCCUUCCGUAUCAAUCAAAUGGUAACUCCCGAAGUCGGGACGUAUGGCAAACAACAUUGCACAUUUACUCUGGCUGCAACAAAAGUGUGAGACACACAUAGAAACCAUUUACUUUUUUAAAUGUAAAAAAACCAUGCAGACAUCAGUAUUUAAUUUUUAUUAACACUCGACAACGAAUAUUCCAUAUUUUCUUUUUUCCUCUUGUCUGUAAUCGUCCGAACACAUUCUUCACCGCUAAGCUUUUCUUUUGUUGGACAGCAUCUGUUUUGAACUCGAAAGAGCAUCAACAUAAUGGGGGUCUAUAUUGGCUCUCAGGCCAUAUAUACGGUGCAGUUUUCAACGGGUAAUUAUCAAUUAGAUCAGAUCCGAAUUGUCAUGAUAAAUACGAUAAUCUGAGGACUAUGUUCUUCGUGAUAACUAAGAAAUAAAUGAAUGAAGAUGAAUGUAGUUAGUAAUACCUUAGCUAUACCUAAAACGGAUCACUUCUUAGAAUUUGGAAUAAAUCAAUGGGGUCCUAUUUCACGGAGAAACAUGUUUCUUAAAUGCAAUGAAACAGUGUUGAAGGCCUUACAUUGACCUAUAAUGGUUUACUUUUAUAAAUUGUUAUUUUGAUGGAGAGUUGUCGCAUUGUCACUCACACCACAUCUUCCUAUAUCUAUAAUUGCUGAGAACGAAAUUUCUCUUUGUCUAAUUUACAAAAUGACAUCCCUUUUGUUCAGUUAUCGUUGAUAUUUUUGCACAUUGCAAAUUUCGUUAUACACGGCAAUACAGAAAAGAUAAUUCUUACAGUUUUGUCUCUCCUAGAAGAAACCAAAAAUCGAGACAUAUGUUCAUGUAUAUGCUGUUUCCAGCAUCAGAGGGUGGCUUUGAACAUCGUAUUACAAGUUAAUUUGUGACUGAAACUUGCUUAGUUAACAUGUAUUAGUUUGAUAAGGCCUGAGUUAAAGGAUUCAACCACUAGUGUUAGUCAAUGUUAUUUGGUAUGCAUUUAAACUAGCAUUGGUGCAUCUCAUUUCCAUGAAAAAUUAUUUGAUCCUGCACCAACUGCCAUGGCCUAUUGACUUUAAAACGUUUGCUAAGUCUUCAUGUAUUAGUUUGUGAUUAGGUCACUUUAUGGGGAACCCCUAGUUGAACUAGCAUAGUACAUACAUCCUCAUUUCCAUCGAGAUUAAUUGACCCUACCCCUUCAGUCAUGGUCUGAAGAUUUUGAAACUUUUGCUUAGUUUACAACUGUAUUAGUUUGUGAUAAGGUUAAUUAAUGCAACAUAUUGUGAUAUGUAAAUGAUAUUUGGUAUGCAGUUUAACUGGCAUUGAUACAUCUCAUUUCCAUGGAGAUAAUCUGACCCUGCUCAAUCUGUCAUUGUCUAUUGAUAAUUGGUAUGCAUAUGGCAAAUUUUCAUUUUCAUGGAGAUUGUUCAGCCCAUAAUACCUUCAGUCAUGGUUCAUUGACUUUGAAUAUUUUGCAUUACUUACAUGUAAAACUUUAACUAUUUUGAUUUCAACAUUAACAUUUUAGUGUCAGCAUAACAAAAAAAAUUGGUCAUCUCUGUGUAAACAAUUUAUUAAACAUAAUUCUGACACACUUAGAAAAAUUAAGACAUUUUUCAGAAAUUCUGAAUUUGUCUGAAUCAUACUCUUACUGAUGCAUACAGAUUUUUAAUUCGUCUUACAUUCUUGGAUAUAUUUCUGACACUUUCAGAAAAAUUCAGACACUUUCAGAAGUUCUUAAUUUGUCUGAAUAAAAUUCUUAAUGAUUCAGAAAUAUUCAGCAAAAAUUCAGAAUUGUAAGCAUCAAUUCAGAAUAGAAAUAUCAGGAUUCAGAAAAAUUCAGACAUCAUUUAUCAUGUAAGAAAAUUUCAGAAAUAAUUCAGACAUUUUCAGACACAUUCAGAUAAUAUUCAGAUUUUUUUUUUCAUGAGGGAAAUUACAUGUAUUAAUAUUUUCCUGAUCUACACUUCUAUGUAAAUUGCUUGAUGAUGACAGAAGUAUUUAACAACCUUGACUGACUAACAUGGCUCGCACAGUUAGCAAUUAUUUGAUUCUCACAUGGAAGGAAUUUUUUAAUUUUUUAAUUUUUAUCUGACUAGUACUAGCUGGUCAAUAACCAACACAUGCAAGUCUAAACCAUAAUAUAUAUAGAAUCCUGCCUACACAAUUUUAACACCGUUUUAUCUAAUGAUGUCAGCAUUGAUGAAAAUUUCACACAUUUAGAUCAGUCAACUUCAGCCUCAUUCUAAAAAAUAUAUAGUUUUCAAUUUUAAGGGGAAAUAACCCUCUUUUUUUUUCAACUAUAAUAAUGCAAUCUGUAAUUUAAUUGUUUAAUGGCAUAUAAGUCAAGAAAAUGGAGAACAAUCUGUUUUAGUUUUAAUUAGUAAGGACUUUAAAGUGCUUCCUGAGUGAAUAAAGUAUAACAGUAUACUAUAUGCACCAAAAGUAUUCUGUUAUUUUAAUACAUUGUCAUAUAAUAAAUUAUCAGAGUUUGUCAGUCAUGUAAAAGAAUGAUAAUGUGACAAUUUGCAUAAAAGGAUGAUUUCUCAGAGCUUUUAGAAAUUACCAUAGAAAUGACUUGUCAUUGAUUGAAGCUAAAAUAACAUAUGGCUUGUUCGUUGUUACAUAACAAGUAAUAAAGCAAGAUAAAUAUAUACAUUGGAGGCUUUAAGUUAUUGGACUCGGCAGUCUGUAUGGAUAAUGUAAUAUCUAUGGAAAGUCAGACAUAAAACAAAUAUUAUUACGACUAUCGGGUACUGGUAACCCAUAACCAAUACUUUGUAAUAAUUUGGUCUUUUCACACUCUACAUGGUAAUUUUUAAUUGCAUUUAAUAAAGAGUGAAGAAUACUGAUAAUUUGGAAAUUUUGACAAAAGAAAACAUUAUAAAAGAAAUGAGCGACUGUUAAAGAGACAAUAACCUGACCAAUUGGGCCCCCUUUUGUGGAACCUUUUUUGUUGGUUACUAUAUAGGGAAUCACUGAAGCAUUAUGCGAGUUGGCCCCUCUUAUAGCCAGCCAGUUAUAAAAAUUUCUGAACCAGCCACUGUCUUCAAUGCAGCAAGAAAAUCCUGCUCCAUAUUUGGUCAGGUUGUUGUCUCUUUGACACAUUCCCCAUUUGCAUUCUCAGUUUUAUUAACAAUUUGUUUAAAAUGAACUAUAAUAAUGAGAGAUUGUCCAUCAUGAAAGACUAUGUGAAUUAUAGAUUUAUUUUUAAUGUAUGUGUACCCCCAAACUUCCUUAAAAUUUACCCAGUCCUAGAUCAGAGACCUCUGGAUUGAAAUGUUUUUGGACAUUUAUAGUGUGUAAACUCUUCCUUUCACUGAGGCAGUCCCAUUUGCAGAUCAAGGUGAACGUUGACUUUAUUUUGAGAGAGCCUUGAAUGAAGAUUCUAGGAGAAGUGCUAAAGUCACAUGUGCUGUUGAUGGAGGGGGGAAUGUAGAGGUGGUGCCAUCUUUAAUUCUCAGUAAAAAUAAGCGCUGAAUCCAGAGCUAGCUUAAAAAUGUGUGAACUCUCUCUGAUCCCUUAAAGAAUUAAUCAUAAGGUAACAACAACACAACAAAAAACACUUUAUUAAUUCAGAUAGAAUGUUAUCUUGUAAACAAAUUUCAUUAUGAAAAACUUAAUGAAAACAAAUUGUUACGGGCUCUGUGUUAAUUCUAAUUUGGACAAAGAGCACGGAAUAACUUGAUGUAAUUAUAGUACUCUACUGACAAUAACAACAUGAGGAAUAUUUAUAACGGCAGCUAUAUAUUGCCUUUGAACAGGGCCAGGAAGUUGGAGAAAUUAUUUCUGUUUUUGCUUUGACGAUUAUUACGACGCUGAAAUUGUAGAAAUAGUCAUAUCCUGUGGGUAAUGGAUUUCUGAAAUGUAUGACUGACGUCAAUUUCAGUUGUUAAGUAACGAUUGAUUUUCACCAAUCUUAAUGAGUUACUAUUAUAAAAAGUUGUCUUUGUAUGAUUUUAUAUUUAAAUAAUAAUUUGAAAAAAAUCAUUCAAGAAUUUGCAUCUCUUUUAUCUAAUAUUUAAUGAUCGAAAAAUGUUGCAUUCAUUUAAUUAGAAUUUAUUGACUAUGGUGUUAUAAUGAAUGGGUAGUUUGAAAGGAGGAAAAUAGCCCAAAAUUGAUAUUGAUUUUGGUACUGAGGUAAUUACAAACUACAGCUAGAAGUAGGUUUUCUUUUCAUAGAUUUUGUGAUUUUCUAGAGCAGAAGUUUGUAAGAUUAAUUCUCCUUAAAAGCUGACUUUCGAUUUCACGGUUUUAUAUUAUUAAAUAACCUUAACCUUUGAAUUGAUUAUAUACCUUGAAACUUGUUUUUCAUAUAGUAAUAAAGACUAAGAUUAAUUAAGUACAUCAGUUUUAAUGGAUUAUAUACCUUGAAACUUUUAUGGGGGGAGACUCUGUAUGUCCAUUAGCAAAUCCAGGGAUGGGCUCAGAGGUUUAUAAAAAAACAUUUUAAUCACGUAAAAAUUAUGAUCGAUCAGAUCCUUUGUAACUUUUACCAGAUUUGUCUGACCAUAUGAUUUAUUUAGAAUGAUGGAGGCUGCUAUGUUUGACGGAACUUAAAUUUAUGUGUGAAAUUAUAUCAAUGCUGACAUCAAUAUAAGGAUUAAAACAGUGUGAAAAUUGCGUAAUAAGAAUUUUAUUAUAAACUAACCAUGCAGUACUUCUGGCUGGUUAUAUAACCAGUUAAGUACUGCAUGGUUAGUUGAAAUUUAAAAAAAUAAAAACUAUAUAAGAGACUUUAGAAAAUAUUUUUCUUUGAUUGGUGAAUUAAGCAAUAUUAUAUAUAUUUACAACCAAAAAUACAUAUAUACUCGUUACAGGAGGGAUUAAUUUUCAAAGAACUGUUGCAAUUGUGCUUGAAUUAUUUACUAAAUUAGUGAAAUAUUCCUGUAAAAGUAUUGCUUUGAGCUUUCUCUAAAUACUUAAGUAUAAUCAUAGAUACCAUAUGGAAUCUUUAGGCUUGAAUUUUAGAGGUUUGUAUUUUUUCUACAUCAUCUAAUUUAGUCAAAAAUGGAGCUUUUAUGUACUUUCAAAAAUAGUUUAUUAUCAACAGAGACUAAUUGUAGACCUGUGACUUUUGUUGUAUUCUUUUAAAAGGGACUUAGAAAUAAGGUGUCAACACCAAAUUUACUUCAAAUGACGUACAUGCUUUCAAUCCAAGUUCAGUGAUCUAUAUUUUGAUUACAUAGAUUUGAUAUGUGUGAAAAUAUUAUCUGUUUAUCGUGAUUAGGUCUAAAACAGGUGUGAACAAAAAUUUAAAGUCAGUGAGCAGCUAACUCGAAUAAUUCAAGCCCUGUUUUUCGUGUUUGAUUUUCUCCCACACGAGGAAAUGCUCAUAGAUCAGCGGAAUAUAACGACUGAAUUAUUCGGGUUAGUGAGCAGCUUGUGGAUUAGGAGACAACAAUCUGUAUGUUGUACUCAGGAAAAGACCUCUGUUCAAAUCACACACUGUCUUUUAAAAACAACUCUGAUAAGAGUCCAAAGAGGCAUCUGUUGAGGUGUAAUAUACGCAUUUGUCGUUAACUUCAGGAGAAAUACACUUAAGCUCUGCUGUGGUUAUGGGGAAAGGGCAUUCAAUCAUUGACAGUGACAUAUGACAGCAAACUCCAUUUAGCCAUGUGAAUCAUUUAUUUUGAAAUGCAGCUACUCUAAACCUACUAACUCUUAUAAUAAUUUUGGACAUUGUUUUGAAGAUACAGUUGGUUUAUUGACUCAUAUAUUUCUGCCUUUCAAGAAGAGAGGGGGGGCGGGGGUUUGACAAACAAUAAAACGUGGUUUAAAAUAGACGGUAUAUACUACAGACUGUCAUAAUACUUUCAGGACUAUAUAAUAGCCAAUUACAAUUUGCUUCUAAUGUUUUUUUUUUUUAAAUGAUAAUGUUAUAGCAGCAUUUGGUUACUGUGAUUCUUAAAUUAAUAUUGUGGAUUCCAAUAUUCUUGGAUUGAGGGGAAAAAUUGGCUUUUUAUAAUGCUUGAUUUUGUGGUUUAGCGAAAUUAUGUAUAAAUUUUCACUGAGUUAGUACAUGUGAUUAUUUAGGGGUCAACUGAAGCCAGACUUGGUUGUGGGAUUUGAGUAUUCAUUCUGUUGAAGACCCAGUGGUGGCUUAAGCUGUUUUUUGCUCUUUGGUCCGGUUGUAAUCUCUUGGUAUGGACAUAUUCCCCCAUUUACAUUACCACUUUCAGUUUUAUUUUAUACACCUAUUAUAGGUAAUUUUUAUUUCUUCAAUCGCUUGAAUUACAAUGAUAGCUCACUUAUACCCACAAAAUUCCAUAUAUAGACAAUUAUAGUGCAUUGACUCGACAUAUCAACGAUAUAAGGAUGAGGCUUAGAAACGGGGAAAUGCGAGGCUGUGCCGAGCUAUUUCCCCGUUUCGGGCCGAAUCCUUAUAUCAAGUCAAUGCACUAUUAUUGUCUUUAUACUGCAAUCUAAAAAAACAUUUUCAAUUGUUGUUUAAUGCGUUAAGGUUAUUUGUUUGAUUUAAAUAUUUGGGGAAAUCCCCUUUAAAAAGACCUCAUAUGCUCACGGAGAAAUUUUCAACACAAUGAAAUGUACAUUUACCUGUUGAAACCCACACUCGAUGGUGAACGAAAUCAUUUGAGUAUGGACUAAAAUAUCAACCAUAAGCAUAACAAGUUAAUGAUUUAUAGGUUGUAAACAAAAAGUAUUAAUAAAUGAAAUAUGUUUUUCCAUUAAUUGCAAAAGAAACAAGGUUGAGUCGUUCCACGCAUCGUUGUAUGCAUUGGAAACAAAAACAGGUUGAAGAGGUCGUAUGAAUAAUUAAAUGUUAUUUCGGCAACUUCUAUUUAAAUAUUCAUGAGGAAAAGUGAUAUCGGGUCAGUGACUGUAUAUGACAAAGAAAUAUACAGUCAACGCAUUUUGACUGCUCAAAUAGAACGAGUGCAGUAUAAAAAUAAGUAACAAAUCUGUAACAAAUAAAAUCAGAGUAAUUAUUUUUAUUUAAUUUAUUUUUUCAGAGGUUUCCAAGAUGCCUAUGAUGGAUUCAAUUUAUCGGUAUCGUCGUGAUGUGGGUGAAUCCACAUCGCCGUCUGCUGGCAAUGGUAGUGGAGGAUCUGGUACCAUGGCAAACGAUGUGGCUGCUUCCACAGCCAAACCAUCAGCUAUGGAUAAUCUAAAGAAUAAAAUUAUGGAUGAGAUUAACUCUU